UGGAAAGGCUGCAUCGGUCUUUCACUCUGCACAAUAAAGGACAUUAACAUGCGCCUGCAUGUUAACACAACUUCAGGGUGAAACUUUUCUACGAACGUCCUCCGGACUGCUUGUUGUCCAGAAAAGCUGAAAAGACUCGCGAAGCCCAGCCAGGAGACGCCAAAUUGUCGUGGAAAUUAGUCAACACUCGCAGACUCGUCCUCUGAAGAAGCAGCCGUAGUUCCUGCAAUGGAAGGAAGCUGAUGGAAGGAAGCAGAUGGAAGGAAGCUGAUGGAACACUGGGACAUUGUAACUGGCCUGUAACAUCAGCAGACCUCAGUCACCUGUGGGGUCAUUUAAAACAGCAAGUGAACCACAAGUGACAGGAUUGCUGCUGUUAUUUAGGUGAGAGGAAGAGUAACCAUGUAUCCCAGAAGAAAUGAAACACGCAACUCAUUUUUGGUCUGGGGAGCUUAUUGUAAAGACACAGUAUUUCUGAUUAUCAACGCAGUACUCCUAGGUGUUGAUUUCCAAAUAGAGUAAAAUAAAUUUGCUCUAAAAUUAUUUAAGGUCUUCUAGUUCAGUUUAUGGAGGGCAUGGUGGCUUAGAUCGUAGUACGUUUGCCUGGCACCUCCGUGGUUGGGGGUUCGAAUCCUGCGUCUGCCCGGUGUGUGCGGAGUUGGCAUUCUCUCGUUGUACUCCGAGGGUUUCCUCCGGUUUCCUCCUCCAGUCCAAAGACAUGUGUUGUAGGCUGAUUGGAAUUUCCAAAUUGUCCGUAGUGUGUGAAUAGGUGUGUGAUUGUGCCCUGUGAUGGGUUGGCACCCCGUCCAGGGUGUCCCCCGCCUCGUGCCCCGAGUUCCCUGGUAUAGUCUCCAGGCUCCCCUGCGACUUUGUGUGGGAUAUGCAGUACAGAAGAUGGAUGGAUAGUCCAGUUUAUAAUCACAUUAAAAACCAAUCCAACUGAGCACAUUAAAUGACUGAUUCAUGACCGCGAGUUUUCCCCCCAUCAUCACAUUAUUUACACAGAAUAUUUAAGUAUAUUGGAUAGAUGUUUUUUGGGACAAUUUUUAUUUCAUGAUUUAUUUUAUUAAAAAGGAGUUUGUUUAGAGAGACACCACAGAGAUUAUAGUUAUUAGCUGUUCAUGACAGACAAGGAUUUUGACGUUUGAGUAAACAAACAGUAAAGUUAAACAUUUUGGUUGUGGACUACACGACUGUAUUGGAAUCACUCACGUAAACAGAAUUGUUGCGUUUCCUCGUUAAUAAGAGUGUGCUGGAUCCACCAUCAUUUCAUUAUCGAGGAAUGUCUUAAUAAUGUUAAGCUCCAUCUGAGUGAUACCCAAGUUUUGGUAAUGUCCUGCAGGCUGGCCAAGGUGUCCAGUGAUGACCUGCGUCAGCUUCGUCCGUCUACGGAUCGGUCUUCAGAUACUUUCAUCAUCACUCAUGUCCCAAAUCUGGAACGCAAAAUAGAAAGAAAAGAAUGUUGAAAUGGUGUAUGUAAAGAAUGAAACAUGACGGGGUGUGCUGUUAUAGGAAAUAAUAACAGCCUGAUGCAUCUUUAAUAAUUAAAGAACAACUUGUCAUACUUUUUAUCCAUUUAUAGUCACAUUUAAAGCUGUGGAAUGUCCACAAAACAAGUUAGCUAGUGGUAUCAAUUGUG
ensembl:lncRNA